rnacentral:rRNA from 1 species
AGUCCUGGCGUUAGGACGAACGCUGGCGGCGUGCCUAAUACAUGCAAGUCGAACGGUCUUUCUAUGGAAGCUUGCUCCGCUGAGAAGAUAGUGGCGAACGGGUGAGUAACACGUGGGUAACCUGCCCAUAAGAGGGGGAUAACAUCCGGAAACGGGUGUUAAUACCGCAUAGUUUUCUUGAUCGCAUGAUCGGGAAAGAAAAGACGGCCUUUGUGCUGUCGCUUAUGGAUGGACCCGCGGCGUAUUAGUUAGUUGGUGAGGUAACGGCUCACCAAGACGAUGAUACGUAGCCGACCUGAGAGGGUGAUCGGCCACAUUGGGACUGAGACACGGCCCAAACUCCUACGGGAGGCAGCAGUAGGGAAUCUUCCGCAAUGGACGAAAGUCUGACGGAGCAACGCCGCGUGAGUGAAAGAAGGUUUUCGGAUCGUAAAACUCUGUUGUCAGAGAAGAACAAGUUGGAGAGUAACUGCUCCAGCCUUGACGGUAUCUGACCAGAAAGCCACGGCUAACUACGUGCCAGCCGCCGC